rnacentral:lncRNA from 10 species
CUAGAGGGUCAAUUUGACUCCCAUAAGACACACUUGGUCAUUUUUGUUAAGGCCAAGGAAGGAAAUUGAGCAAGUGAGUGUGAAUCCCUUGUCACUCAUAGAGUGGUGGCAGAAUGAUUUAACCUAGGAGUCAGAGUCUGAGAAGCCACUGAAGCGUGCUAAAAUGAACAGGCAUAGUUUAUGGAUUGUCAGGAGGAGGAUUGUCCAUUGUGAGAAGCAUUGACUUAAUCCAUUACCACUCAUUGAGCUUCAGUUCUGACUAUAAAAACCCCCUUCAUCAAACCAGUAUUGCUGAACGUAAAGGGUGUUAAGAAGAAAUAAAUAACUUUCACAUAAUUUAUAUUUCAAUAAUGUUUAAUAGUUUCAUAAUCAUGCUUUUUAUUAUAAAAUCAAUAGAACUGCAUAAAAUAAGAGAAGUGAUCAAAACCACUCCUAUUCUCAUCCUUCUAAUUCCAUAAUUAAAUAACUUGUAUUGAUCUUUUCUAGACCCUUUUCAUGUUGAAAGAUGUAUAUAUAUUGUAUGUUGCAUAUUUUGCCUUCCUCUUCAUAUUUUACAUUGAUCUAUACAACCAACCCUUUUAAUGGUUGCACAAUAUUUCCUCAUAUGGAUGUUCUGUAGACAAUCUCGUUGUUAGACACUUGGGCUCUUUCGUCAUUAGAAGUAGUAGUGCCUUGGACGUUUUGUACACAUUUACUGUAAGAAUAAUUUACUUUGGAUUAAUCCCUAGAAGCAUAAUCACUAAUUCAAAGUGUGUGAGCAUUCUUAUAACUUUGUUACAAGUUGUUUUUACUCUUCUACCAGCAAAAUAUGAGAAAACCAAUAUCCCUCAGUUUUCAUCUAUUUCCUCUUCUGUUUCAAAGGAAAUAGAUGUUACCAAUGAAUAAAAAAGUUGUCAAUUAAAAAAGCAAAUGUUAAUAAUUUUUUUUAAAUUCUGCAUUUCUUAGAUUACUAUUUUCUCCAUUGUUAGGUAUUGUCUUUUACUUGAAUUGCUUAUUCAUAAGUUUGCCUGUUGAAAUUACAGUGUUUUCCUAAUCAUGUUGUACACAUUAGUCCAAAGUAAAGAUAUUGAUCUUAUUGUAAGCAAUUAAUUCUUUUUUUGGACCAUUCUUGAACUGCUUUUAUUAUUAUAGGAUUAUAUAAGAAACUGCUGACUUGGGUGUCCUCCUGCCAAGAAGAUUAUCAAUCUCCAGCACCUCCUUGUAUUUCCUUCUGCUUUCUAUGACAGUAUUACUUUUUUGAGAUUCCAGGGAUACAUGUGCAAGUUUGUUACCUGGGUAUAUUGCGUGAUGCUGGGCUUAGGAUUCAAAUGAUUCCAUCACCCAGGUCAUCGUCCACUCAACCUGCCAGUGCAUCUAGAUGACUCAUACAUUUAUGCUCUUCUGCCCAUUUCAUCUGGAUUCCUGAAGUCCAUGAAAAUUUCAUCUUAGAGUCUACAUUUGGGCUUUUCCUUGACCAUAACCUCUUAUCUGGCUUGGUAACUACCUGUCAUAGAAGAUCUCUCAAAUGACCUCAUCUCCAGGUUUGCUGUGUCCUUUUGUAGCUCACCACAUGGUAUAAAAUUUUCUUCUCCUCCUAUACAUGAACAUUGUACUGUAGGGUUGUGACUGUGCCACUCUUAAGAUUUGUCCUGCACCAGGAGCGUGACUUGGCAUGACUCAGAGAAUAGGCUAUUGCCAUGUUUGACACUGGGCCUCCCAGCAGAUAUAACAGGAUUCUGCAAGAUUGUAUUCUAAUUUCAACUCAUGUAAGACCUAAAUCCUUAAAUGGCAGCUCUGUGGCAAGUAGAGGAAAAACGUAACUUCUUUUCUUGUGUCACUCAGGAAGGUACAUGUAUUUCUGGUUUGGAAAAAAAUGGAAUUUACAAGACUAUAAUGACAUACAUAAUCAUAGCAUGCCAACUUGUCUAAAGAGAAAUCAAAAGGCCUUCAUUGUUGCAUGAAGCAGAGAGAGAAAGUGUGAAGCGAUAUUACACUAUUUCCAUCUCAACUAGAAAAUAAGAUUGCAUUGAUUGUUGAGGUUACUCACUUCAGUAUUGUUAGUGAGUAGGUUUCCUCAAAGAUUAGCUCGAGUUAUGAAAACCAUUGCCUUUCUGAAGUGGUGAUGAUAAGAGAUGGUCAUGCUAAAUAGGAUGAG